GCACACAUGUAAUUAAGAUUAAAGAUUUAUCGGUGUACGAUGGGGAUGCGUUCCAUUAGGUAGUAGGCGGGGUAACGGCCCACCUAGCCAACGAUGGAUAGGGGUUCUGAGAGGAAGGUCCCCCACAUUGGAACUGAGACACGGUCCAAACUCCUACGGGAGGCAGCAGUGAGGAAUAUUGGUCAAUGGACGAGAGUCUGAACCAGCCAAGUAGCGUGAAGGAUGAAGGUCCUACGGAUUGUAAACUUCUUUUAUAAGGGAAUAAACCCUCCCACGUGUGGGAGCUUGUAUGUACCUUAUGAAUAAGCAUCGGCUAACUCCGUGCCAGCAGCCGCGGUAAUACGGAGGAUGCGAGCGUUAUCCGGAUUUAUUGGGUUUAAAGGGAGCGCAGACGGGUCGUUAAGUCAGCUGUGAAAGUUUGGGGCUCAACCUUAAAAUUGCAGUUGAUACUGGCGUCCUUGAGUGCGGUUGAGGUGUGCGGAAUUCGUGGUGUAGCGGUGAAAUGCUUAGAUAUCACGAAGAACUCCGAUUGCGAAGGCAGCACACUAAUCCGUAACUGACGUUCAUGCUCGAAAGUGUGGGUAUCAAACAGGAUUAGAUACCCUGGUAGUCCACACGGUAAACGAUGGAUACUCGCUGUUGGCGAUAUACUGUCAGCGGCUUAGCGAAAGCGUUAAGUAUCCCACCUGGGGAGUAC
rnacentral:rRNA from 1 species